UUACGGGAGGCAGCAGUGGGGAAUAUUGCACAAUGGAGGAAACUCUGAUGCAGCAACGCCGCGUGAAGGAUGAAGGUUUUCGGAUUGUAAACUUCUUUGACCAGGGACGAAUAAUGACGGUACCUGGAAAACAAGCCACGGCUAACUACGUGCCAGCAGCCGCGGUAAUACGUAGGUGGCGAGCGUUGUCCGGAAUUACUGGGUGUAAAGGGCGUGUAGGCGGGGAUGCAAGUCAGAUGUGAAAUUCCACGGCUUAACUGUGGCGCUGCAUCUGAAACUGUGUCUCUUGAGUGCUGGAGAGGAAAGCGGAAUUCCUAGUGUAGCGGUGAAAUGCGUAGAUAUUAGGAGGAACACCAGUGGCGAAGGCGGCUUUCUGGACAGUAACUGACGCUGAGGCGCGAAAGCGUGGGGAGCAAACAGGAUUAGAUACCCUGGUAGC
rnacentral:rRNA from 1 species